AGAGUUUGAUCAUGGCUCAGGAUGAACGCUGGCGGCGUGCCUAACACAUGCAAGUCGAGCGGCAGCGAGGGGUGCUUGCACCCUGUCGGCGAGCGGCGGACGGCUGAGUAACGCGUGGGAACGUGCCCCAAAGUGAGGAAUAACUGCCCGAAAGGGUAGCUAAUACCGCAUAUUAUCUUCGGAUCAAAGGAUUUAUCCGCUUUGGGAGCGGCCCGCGUCGGAUUAGGUAGUUGGUGAGGUAAUGGCUCACCAAGCCGACGAUCCGUAGCUGGUCUGAGAGGAUGACCAGCCAGACUGGAACUGAGACACGGUCCAGACUCCUACGGGAGGCAGCAGUGAGGAAUCUUCCACAAUGGGCGAAAGCCUGAUGGAGCAACGCCGCGUGCAGGACGAAGGCCUUCGGGUUGUAAACUGCUUUUAUAAGUGAGGAAUAUGACGGUAACUUAUGAAUAAGGAUCGGCUAACUACGUGCCAGCAGCCGCGGUCAUGCGUAGGAUCCGAGCGUUAUCCGGAGUGACUGGGCGUAAAGAGUUGCGUAGGCGGUUGUAUAAGUGAAUAGUGAAAUCUGGUGGCUCAACCAUACAGGCUAUUAUUCAAACUGUACAACUCGAGAGUGGUAGAGGUCACUGGAAUUUCUUGUGUAGGAGUGAAAUCCGUAGAUAUAAGAAGGAACACCGAUGGCGUAGGCAGGUGACUGGACCAUUUCUGACGCUAAGGCACGAAAGCGUGGGGAGCGAACCGGAUUAGAUACCCGGGUAGUCCACGCCGUAAACGAUGGAUACUGGCUGUUGGAGGUAUCGACCCCUUCAGUAGCGAAGCUAACGCGUUAAGUAUCCCGCCUGUGGAGUACGGCCGCAAGGCUAAAACAUAAAGGAAUUGACGGGGACCCGCACAAGCGGUGGAUCGUGUUCUUUAAUUCGAUGCUAAACGAAGAACCUUACCAGGGCUUGACAUCCAGGGAAUUUUUGGGAAACCAAUUAGUGCCGUUUGGACCCUGUGACAGGUGAUGCAUGGCCGUCGUCAGCUCGUGUCGUGAGAUGUUUGGUUAAGUCCAUCAACGAGCGCAACCCUUGUGUCUAGUUGUAUUUUUCUAGACAGACUGCUUCGGUAACGGAGAGGAAGGAGGGGAUGAUGUCAGGUCAGUAUUUCCCUUACGUCCUGGGCUAGAAACACGAUACAAUGGCUAGUACAAUGCGCAGCGAAGCCGCGAGGUGAAGCAAAUCGCAUCAAAGUUAGUCCCAGUUCGGAUUGGAGGCUGAAACUCGCCUCCAUGAAGUCGGAAUCGCUAGUAAUCGCAAAUCAGCAAGUUGCGGUGAAUACGUUCCCGGGUCUUGCACACACCGCCCGUCA
rnacentral:rRNA from 1 species